UACGGGGGGGGCAAGCGUUGUUCGGAAUUACUGGGCGUAAAGGGCUCGUAGGCGGCCAACUAAGUCAGACGUGAAAUCCCUCGGCUUAACCGGGGAACUGCAUCUGAUACUGGAUGGCUUGAGAUUGGGAGAGGGAUGCGGAAUUCCCGGUGUAGAGGUGAAAUUCGUAGAUAUCGGGAGGAACACCGGUGGCGAAGGCGGCGACCUGGGUAGAUACUGACGCUGAGGCGCGAAAGCGUGGGGAGCAAACAGG
rnacentral:rRNA from 1 species